GGCGGCAGCUGGCAGGGCAGGCUCUGCAGGCGGCUGUUUGCCCUGCUGAUGGGGUGCAGGUUCCACUGCUGGGGCAGGUCCGGGGUUGACAGUCACCAGAGGCCGUAGUGGUGGGACUGCAGCUGUUGCUAAGAGCCACUGACGCACCGAGGAGAGAAAACGACAGGCUUGGGUCUGCUAAUCAUCCAGUUGGAGCACGUGGGAGUCAGAGGGCCUCCCGCAAGCCUCGGAGGAGAAGCUCCCUUCCUGCAGUUGGGGGCAGAGAGGGUUUGGCGGUGAGGCCCAGGACUUGCUGGAAGCAGGCAGCACGUUGGAGAAGGUGUUUCUGACUGGGGUGACCACCCUGAGUGCCCCGCCUCUAUCCUGGUGAAACUGGAAUCCUCACACAUCCCAUGGAGGUGACUAUCCUUGCUGACCAGCGCCACAGAGAUGACCUUUGGCCUGUUGGGGAAUUGGGGGCCCGAGUUCUGCAUCCUGCCACAUGUUUGUAUAUGCCAAUGGGGUCCUCUGAGGGUGUGCUUCUGCCUGAGGGCAGCGCUGGACCUCUGGCCUCUGGUUGAGACCUCUGGGGCUCACACCUUCCUGUUCAUCUGCUCCAGUGUCUUCUUGCUGUUUCAUAAAUCUGAUGCUCCUCAGCAACCUCCUCUCUCAGGAACCCUGGGGACCCAGCACGUCAGUCAUUAAUCAUCGGGACCAGGGAGGUGCCACCACUUCUCCCAGCAGGACAGGCCAGUCCUGCAGUGGCCAUGCUGGGC